rnacentral:rRNA from 1 species
AUUAAACGCUGGCGGCAUGCCUUACACAUGCAAGUCGAACGGCAGCACGGGGGCAACCCUGGUGGCGAGUGGCGAACGGGUGAGUAAAGCAUCGGAACGUGCCCUGGAGUGGGGGAUAACGUAGCGAAAGUUACGCUAAUACCGCAUAUUCUGUGAGCAGGAAAGCAGGGGAUCGCAAGACCUUGCGCUCUGGGAGCGGCCGAUGUCGGAUUAGCUAGUUGGUGGGGUAAAGGCCUACCAAGGCGACGAUCCGUAGCGGGUCUGAGAGGAUGAUCCGCCACACUUGGGACUGAGACACGGCCCAGACUCCUAUGGGAGGCAGCAGUGGGGAAUUUUGGGACAAUGGGCGAAAGCCUGAUCCAGCCAUGCCGCGUGAGUGAAGAAGGCC